rnacentral:rRNA from 1 species
GGCUUAACACAUGCAAGUCGAGCGGCAGCGCGGGGGCAACCCUGGCGGCGAGCGGCGAACGGGUGAGUAACGCGUAGGAAUCUACCUGAUAGAGGGGGAUAGCCCGGGGAAACUCGGAUUAAUACCGCAUACGCCCUAAGGGGGAAAGCAGGGGAUCUUCGGACCUUGCGCUAUCAGAUGAGCCUGCGUCGGAUUAGCUAGUUGGUGAGGUGAAGGCUCACCAAGGCGACGAUCCGUAGCUGGUCUGAGAGGAUGAUCAGCCACACUGGAACUGAGACACGGUCCAGACUCCUACGGGAGGCAGCAGUGGGGAAUAUUGGACAAUGGGGGAAACCCUGAUCCAGCCAUGCCGCGUGUGUGAAGAAGGCCCUAGGGUUGUAAAGCU